rnacentral:rRNA from 1 species
AUUGAACGCUGGCGGCAUGCCUUACACAUGCAAGUCGAACGGCAGCACGGGAGCAAUCCUGGUGGCGAGUGGCGAACGGGUGAGUAAUAUAUCGGAACGUGCCCAGUCGUGGGGGAUAACGUAGCGAAAGCUACGCUAAUACCGCAUACGAUCUAUGGAUGAAAGCGGGGGAUCGCAAGACCUCGCGCGAUUGGAGCGGCCGAUAUCAGAUUAGGUAGUUGGUGAGGUAAAGGCUCACCAAGCCGACGAUCUGUAGCUGGUCUGAGAGGACGACCAGCCACACUGGGACUGAGACACGGCCCAGACUCCUACGGGAGGCAGCAGUGGGGAAUUUUGGACAAUGGGCGCAAGGCUGAUCCAGCAAUGCCGCGUGCAGGAUGAAGGCCUUCGGGUUGUAAACUGCUUUUGUACGGAACGAAACGGUGAGCUCUAAUACAGUUUGCUAAUGACGGUACCGUAAGAAUAAGCACCGGCUAACUACGUG